GAUGAACGCUAGCGGGAGGCUUAACACAUGCAAGUCGAGGGGCAGCAUAGGGUAGCAAUACUCUGAUGGCGACCGGCAAACGGGUGAGUAACGCGUAUGCAACCUACCCUGUACAGGGGGAUAACCCGGAGAAAUUCGGACUAAUAUCCCGUAAUAAUAUCCGGAGGCAUCUUUGGAUAUUUAAAGUUCCGACGGUACGGGAUGGGCAUGCGUAACAUUAGCUGGUUGGUAAGGUAACGGCUUACCAAGGCUAUGAUGUUUAGGGGUCCUGAGAGGGUGGUCCCCCACACUGGUACUGAGACACGGACCAGACUCCUACGGGAGGCAGCAGUGAGGAAUAUUGGUCAAUGGGCGCAAGCCUGAACCAGCCAUCCCGCGUGCAGGAAGACGGCCCUAUGGGUUGUAAACUGCUUUUCCAGGGAGAGAAACUUACGCACGUGUUGCGUGACUGACGGUACCCUGGGAAUAAGCAUCGGCUAACUCCGUGCCAGCAGCCGGGGUAAAAGUCACGUCG
rnacentral:rRNA from 1 species